AUACGGAGGGUGCGAGCGUUACUCGGAGUCACUGGGCGUAAAGCGUCCGUAGGCGGUCGGGUAAGUCGGGUGUGAAAGCCCCGGGCUCAACCUGGGAAGUGCACCCGAUACUGCCCGACUCGAGUGCGGGAGAGGAUGGCGGAAUUCCCGGUGUAGCGGUGAAAUGCGUAGAGAUCGGGAGGAACACCAGUGGCGAAGGCGGCCAUCUGGCCCGCAACUGACGCUGAGGGACGAAAGCGUGGGGAGCAAACAGGAUUAGAAACCCUAGUAGUCC
rnacentral:rRNA from 1 species